UGUUACAUAGGUAUACAUGUGCCAGGGUGGUGGUUUGCUGCAUCCAUCACCCUGUCAUCUGCAUUAGGUAUUUCUCCUAAUGCUAUCCCUCCCCGAUCCCCCAUUCCCUGCUAUUUUUCUCAUAGCCCCGCCUCCCCCCCCCCCCCCCCCCCCCCCAACCAGGCUCUGGUGUGUGAUGUUCCCUUUCAUUGAUAUCUUUUAUCAACUAUUUUUUCUGUCCCCUUUCUGUCUCCUCUCCCUGGAGACUCAAAUUACUUGUAUAAUUGGCCAUUUGAAGUUGUCCUACAGAUCCCUGUUGUAUUCUUCUCCCGUUUUUUUUUGAAGUUCCUGUUUGUCGCUCUGUUCCAUUUUGAAACACAGUUCACCAAUCUUUUCUUCAAUGUCUAAUCUGCCAUUAAUCCCAUUCACUGUUUUCUUCAUCUCAGACAUUGUGGUUUUCAAUCUCUAGAAGUCCGUUUCAGAUCUUUGUUAAGUCUUCCAAGUCUCUGCUUAUCUUGUGGAACAUACCAAAUACAGGGAUAAUGACUUUUUUGAGUUCUUGUCUGCUGAUUCUAGCAUCUAUUUGAUUAUUUUCUACUUCUAAAGUGAGGCCUCUCCUAGUCCUCUACCCAAGACCGUGAAUUGUGAGUUUUUUCGGUGGGUCUGCUAAGGACAGGCACUAUGCCAAGCCUUUCAUCUUUUUAGAGGGCUCUUUAACUGGUAGUUUCUUCAGUCACAUGCAUUGAUCAACACCGAAUACUCAAGAGGGACGUCUCCAGAUCUCUGGAGUUCUCUCUCUGCAGCCCCUUCCUCUUUGCUGCACUUUCCGGUGAAUUCUAAUGGCCCCACACUGUCAGCUGAGGGAGUAUACUGGGUCCUGCCUGGUGUCCAGCUCCGUGUGCUGUGGCCCAGAAACUUUCAGGCCAUGAGCUGCUUUCAGGCAGGAGGGCUGUCCAUCUAGACCACAGGCAGAAGUCUACAGCUCUUGAUGAUAUUUCCUAUCCCUGAUUCUUUUUUCACGGUGCCUUCUAUUUAUCCAGAGGAAUUCCAGCACCAGUGAUGGUAUGUGAACCUUUAGUGGCACCACAUCAACAGAGGCAUCAGCUUCAAAUGGCUGAAAUAAACAGAGCAUAAAUAAAUAAAUCUGGGAAAUACAGCCCAGAUUCAUUGGCCAUGCUUUCCAGGUCUUCCAUAAACCAUGCUGUUCUUUUUCCUCUAAUUCCCUUCAUAAUCUUUAUUUCUGUUCCUACAGAUUUGAUAACUGGAUACAGAAAUUCCUGGUCCUGGGGCUUGAAGAGUAAAGGGGCAGGAGUGGGAGCAUGGGAAGGGGCAGUGCUCUGUUUAUUUCAGCCAUUUGAAGCUGAUAUGUCUGUCCUGGUGUUGAUAAGGGGCUCCAUCACACAUAUACCCUUCCUCUGUCGUUGGGGAAGGUACCCUGGACAAGGAGCUCAGAGGUGGCUCCUGGUGUUGCAGUGGGAAGGAGACCUCUGGACCAGGAUGUGCUGUGGGGCGUCAACUACCAGCCUUGUGGUCUCAGGAAAGUGACCCAUCAAGGGGCACACAAUAGGGACACCACCUUGAAAUCUGAAGUCACUGAGUAGCAGGGGAAAUUGGAGCCUGGGGCGCCCAUUGGCCUGCCCUUGGGUUUUAUUUAACUGUGGCCUCCCGGGAUGUUAUACACCCUGGCUUCCUUAGAAGGUGAGGCCUGUACCCAGUAGGCAGACUGGACUUCUUCCUAAGUGAAAUAUAGUUAUGUAAUGGUUAGCUCAUUGGUGUUUAACUUUCUGACCAAAGUGAUGAUCCAAAGUUUGAAUAGAGAAAUAAAUCCCCAGUGAAGGAGGAGGGAGGGGCCGUGUGCAUGCUCCCACUGUUUCUCCCAAGCCUGUUCUCCACCCUGCCUGCCCUGCCAGGCAAAGCCCCUACCCUUUGUCGACUCUACUUCUUAGGAACCUGACAACACAGGGAAUUUUCCUGACAAGUGAGUGUCAUUUUAUGGGUUAUUGCUGUUUUCCCAGAGUAGCCAAUUAGUAGUGAGGGAGUGUCACAUGCUCUUCUCCACGUUCAGCGCUUUCCUGAGUGUGCUCAUCAGGUUUAAGGAGCCAGCUGUCCCACCUGCUUGGCUGUACAGCCCUGCAGGCUGGGAUCUUGGCAGAUUCACACCCACUGAGGAGCGUGCUUGGGUUCAGUCGUGGUUGAGAUGGGGUUCUUCCAGUGCAGCCCCAAAAUACUUUAAGAGAUGCAGAGGAAGCACAGCAUCCUGAGUGAAUAUCCCCUUGAUCCCAGAAAGGCUGGAGGGAAGCAGCGCUGCUAUUACUUAGUUGGAGGCACCAAGAGCGUGGCUCCCUUUAUUCUAAUGGCAUUCAAGGGCAUCAGCCGUUUUGACCCCCAGAAAGCCAUUUUUCCCAUGCUGAGUAGUCUCAUGGCGUUGUUUGCCACCACAGUGCUGCGUAGCCCUACCAUAUGGACUGACUGAUGGAGGGGUGACCACGGCGUCAGCUGCUAACGUGGAAGGACUUGAUUAUGCAAGAGCUGGGUUUCCAUGGAAGUCAAACACCCUGCUCCUUUACCUCCCCAUAACAGCUGUCCCCAUGACAGCCUCCUGACCAUAACAAGCCAGCCUUGCUAUUUUGGAAAGGAGUCAAGGCUGUGGAGGUCCGAUCUGGACAGUAUUUAUCUCCUAUGUGACCCGGGUGAGUUGCCCACCCUCACAGAGCUCUUUUCACCAAGUUCACAUGAGACUCAAAUGGGGUGCAGUGUUUUUAACCCCUUCUGUGCUUUAGAAUCACCUAGAAGAAUUGAAACAGAGAAAUACCAGUGUCCCGAUGCCACCCUCAGGAAUUUGGAUGUAAUUCCCCUGCUAGGCCUCAGGUAGCCCCUGAGGUGUUGAGGUGAUUCUGAUGUGCAGCCAGGGUUGAGAAGGACCGAGGUGGAUGUCACAAGAGCGCUCUGGUAAAUUUCAUUUGGGGUGGCUGUCAUUUGAUUCUCCACUCACUUUGGCAGUGUCUAUUAAUUUUAACCUUUUAAAAGUAAAGUUAUUUAUGACUUUUUGUUUUUCUUAACAUUGUUUCCAACAACCACCCCAGGUUAUUUAGCAACAAUUAGCCAUGGUAGUUCACAGUCCUGAACCCAAACACCCCUAGAUCUUCAGCAUCGCCCAGGGCUUCCAGUGACUUCAUGGAAUGUCAUCAUAGUCUGUCCUUUGGAGAGCGGGCUUUUCUGGGGUGCCGUGAGGAUCUGGGCUGAGAUUCUCCAGGGCGGUCAUUGCUUCCUGGUUGGAAAAGCCCUAGGUGCCAGAUGCAAGAAGAGAAAGAGUGAAAAUAACCACCUUGCCCAUCAAAACCGUCUCAAAAUCAGAGAACUGGGUGUCUGUAAGAAAUCACAGGUUUCUGUGUGGAGAAUAACUCAAAAAGUUUCACCGUGACAAGUGCAGAAAUUAUAUUUAAAUGAGUACAGGAGAAAAUUUUGCACAAACUGUAUUAGCUGAAGAAGGUUCUAUACAAUGGGCUGUAGUUGAAUUAAGGGUGAAUUCUGUGUUGCUGCCAAUGCCCUCCCCACUCUGGGGCUGUUGCUUCUCUUGAGCCCAGCAUUCCUGUUCGUUCCACCUGAGGACGGCAGCAUGUGGGAAGGUGGGAGAGACUUAAACACACCUAAGGGCAGGUGUAUAGCGGAAGGACUUGGACCCUUUGAGGGUCCGAGAUAGGUUUUGCAAUGAGAACAUAAUAACGCAGGUUUAACCAAAAGAAUGUGAUCUUUGAAGACACCGUUUGAUUGUAAGCGUGGUUGUGGUAUUUUGUAAACAGAAUAGCUUUUCUAGGAAACUCUAAAAUGUGCCUAUAUGAUGCUUCAGGUUGAUAGAUUUAUGAAGUAGUGGUUCUGAGUAUAAUCUGGGAAAGAGGCUGAGGAGGUCUAGUCAUCUUCAUUUUCUGAAGAGACAACUGAGAUUUAGUUUAAAUAGUGGUCACAUAGCUAGGAAUUUGGUAGUUCAAGGACAAGACUUGCGGUCUUAAAACUCAUUUUGGUACGUUUCAUGUUUUAUAAUUUUUCACAGUAUUUUUACUUUUUAAAUUGAGUUUUCCUUUUGAAAUGAAAAAUGAGAAAACUCAAAAUUUUGGAGAGAAAAAAUUGCUCUUUGCCUAAUAAUGAAAAUGUGUGCACCUUUGCGUUCAUGUAGUUCUUUAGAACCAGUAAGGCCUUUCCCUGAAAAAGGCGUCCUGAAUAUUCAGGGUCCAAACAUUGAUCACUGAAGGGUAGGAGGGAAGGUAAAGCAAGCUACACAAAGGGAAAACUGCCUGUAGCCUUCAAAUGUGCUCUUCCUGGCCCUCCCCGCUUUUGUUAGCAGAUAUCAGUGACGUGUUAAUAUUAGGCUGUUUUGCUGUGACUGUAAUGGUAAAUUUUAAUAGAAAUUCAGUUAGCAGUUUCUGAAUCUGAAAGACAGUGGCAUUGGUUGUGAAUGCUCACAACAGUGUGUGCUGUUGAAAAGUUCAACUCAAUUUUUAUUUGCUGUUUCACAGGAAACAAUCAUCCCUCAUAUUUUAUAGUACUAUCUGGGUUACAAAAAUACUGAUGAGUCUUUGUUGGACAAGCCGUAAUCUCAGGAAGGAGGGGAGGUAAGCUUGAUCUCAGUGGCUUCUGCUCUGAAUUAGAAUAUUCAGCAGGCAGCCUUUUCCAUAGGCGCUGGUCCCAUCUCAGUGUAGCAGGGACGGUAAUGCCUUUCCCUGCAUAGUUGAGGAGCUUUUGAAUGCCCUUUUGGAAGCUAUAGAAAUCUAUGAUAUUCAUUGUCGUCUUUCGACCAUGAACUUAAACUCCUAUCACACCUCUAGGUGUGAUAAUAUUUCUCCUGUUAUAGCGGAGUAAUGUCACACUUGGCACUCUUACUGUCCUCUUCCGAGAAUACCACCCAAGUGCUUUCUGAGAGUGUUAACUGCUGUUUGGCUCAUUUUUCUGCGCCAAGGAGAACAGAAACACAGCAGGCACCAAGAGGAGGUUUAGCAUGCAGUGGGUUGUUCGCAAAGGCCAUGAGUAAAUGAGAUAUUCCCUGACUCCUGCUAUUGCUACAUGAGGUCGUUGAAGCCAGGCCUAGGUACCAUUUCUUUCAUCCCUUGCUAGUUCCUAAUCGUGGUCACAAACCUUCCACAUCCAUCCAGGCCAAUAGCAGUGCUUGUGGAAAGCAGUGUCACUAAAGAAAACAGGACAGGGCAUCAGUUGUGUUCAGAGUUUUGAUUGGCAUCUGAUUGGAAUUAGGAGAAUUAUUUUGCCAUAACCUAGGUGUCGUGACCCAGGCUUUUUUGGUGGACCUUGACACCACAACUGUAUGCUUGCUGGAAAGGAAAGGAAAGGGAGAGUCACAGUCACUGAGACAGUCAAGGCUGAGGCCCACCUGCUGGUGUUUUAUAGGAACUGGCACGGGGAGGCUUGUGUGUCCUUUGUUUUCCGAGAGGCCUUGUUCCACAUUGCCUCCCACUUGAGGCCAGGAAUAUUGCAGCAGUGCCAAAGAGUGGGUGGAAAAAUGGCCUUAUUAUUAACCUAAGUUGGAAACAUAUGGCUUUCUGAGUGUCUUCAUUCAUAGAUGCAGUCACAAAAUAUUAAUACUCUUUCUUGAACAUGGCAAAACAAAGUCUUCAUUUAACCUCCGUUGUCCACGUCCAUGGUGAAACAGCACCUCGUGCUGGGGGAAAAAAAAAACUGGUUCCUUGAGAAUUAUUUUAUCCUUUGCAUUUGCAUAUAGUUUGAAUUCAUAAUUAGGCUAUUUUUAUUGGCUAGCAGCUGUAUUAUCAUAUAAAUCCCUGAAUGUGUAAUUUGGAGUCAUUUAGACCAGUCGUCCCACAGUAACCCUGGGAAGCACAUGAGCAGUGUCAGCGUCUUUGGAGGAAGAAAAGGAAGACGGGAGUAACUUGCUGCAGGCAGCUUAGCUCCUACUGUAGUGGAUUGGGUUUUUACACUAAAGAACAUAGAUACCUGUUCAAUAAUAACUUACUUUUGCAUGAAAUUCAUCUAUUAACAGGGUGCUUUGAGGCUAGGUGUGGUGGUUCACAACUAUAAUUGCAGCACUUUGGGAGGCCAAGGAUAGAGGAUCACUUAAGCCCAGGAAUUCAAGACAAGCCUGGGCAAUAUAGCAAGACCCCCA